rnacentral:rRNA from 1 species
CCUACGGGUAGCAGCAGUGAGGAAUAUUGGUCAAUGGACGAGAGUCUGAACCAGCCAAGUAGCGUGAAGGAUGACUGCCCUAUGGGUUGUAAACUUCUUUUAUAUGGGAAUAAAACGUUCCACGUGUGGGAUUUUGUAUGUACCAUAUGAAUAAGGAUCGGCUAACUCCGUGCCAGCAGCCGCGGUAAUACGGAGGAUCCGAGCGUUAUCCGGAUUUAUUGGGUUUAAAGGGAGCGUAGGUGGAUUGUUAAGUCAGUUGUGAAAGUUUGCGGCUCAACCGUAAAAGUGCAGUUGAAACUGGCAGUCUUGAGUACAGUAGAGGUGGGCGGAAUUCGUGGUGUAGCGGUGAAAUGCUUAGAUAUCACGAAGAACUCCGAUUGCGAAGGCAGUUCACUGGACUGCAACUGACACUGAGGCUCGAAAGUGUGGGUAUCAAACAGGAUUAGAUACCCCAGUAGUC